UCACCGGGUGUAUUGUAGUGGA
rnacentral:miRNA from 1 species